GAACAGAGGCAACAAAAUAUCUUAAGACUAAUAUCUAUACCACUGGUGCUGCUGGUCAUAACUGGAGCUUGUUGUCUGAUGUACUGGAAGUGGAAGAAGUGUAAACAAGCAGGAAAACAAGUUGAAUCUAUUGAAGAAGAGAUAGUCUAUACUACAACAACAUUUCGUGCAAAUCGUGCACACAAUACGAAACAUGAUGAACCAGUUGAGGCAAUUUACUCAAGUGUUGUGCUGAAAUAAAGAUCCAGUUUUCCUUUGAUUUUUUUUUUUUUAUGGUUUAGUUGUUACAACCAUACAAUGAGUAAUAUGAAUUACCUAAGGGAUUUUACAAAUUAUUUUAACUGAGAUAUUGACUAAUGUUACAUUUUUUUUUUCUUUGCAAUAUUUUAAAUUUUAUUAUUUUGUAGGACUUUUAUUUUGACAUUACAGUGAUGUAAGGAACAUUUAAAAAAUGACGUAAAGUUUAAACGCUCACAGCGGCCGUUUCUCAAUCCGAAGGCUGCAGCCUCCGGAGGUCGCAUUUCUGUGCUGCUUACGUCAUCAAUACGCUGUUAUUUCACAAUUUUAAAAGUAUAAAGUUUACUGUAAUUCUUAGUUCAUAGUAAAUGAUGGUAAUAUGCUUAUUUGACUUGCGAAUUUAAUGCUCAAUUAACUUAAAUAAACCAGGCUUGAAGACGUG